rnacentral:lncRNA from 1 species
CUAUUAUAUUUUUUGGCCUUGCAGCAACAAAGGUGUUAAAGCAAAAAAAAUAUAAUAGCCUUUCUAAACAUUACAACUUUUUGGACUUGCAUCUUUCAAGCUAAAGAUUAUGUUUUGUACAUGUCCUUGUAAUGACAUUUACCAACUAAAACAAACACACUGAUGGAUAAAAUAGAAAAGGCAAGCAUCAGUAAAUAAAACGCAACAUAGAAAACUAAAAACUGAGCAACACAAACCCCACCUGCAUUCAAAACAAAGACAUGGUGACAAAUUUAAAAAACCCAG